GCCAGUGUUGCUCAGUGGUUAAAGCGUUGGCCCACGCACCAAAUGGUCUCAGGUUCGAUUCCUGGUCAAGGGCA
rnacentral:tRNA from 1 species